UUCAAAAUUAAAUUGUAGGGAAAAUAUAAUACACAAAAAAAAAUGGCUCUAUACAAUAAAAAACCAAACGUACAUACAAUAUUGCAUAUGACUUCUAAACAUAUGUAUGCACAUAUAAUUAGAUUCAAAAUAAGGCAUAUUCAAGUAAAAUAAAUAUAAAUAACGUUAACAUCCAUCUAUUAAACAAAAAAAAAAUCAAUGACAAAGGAAUUUAAAUAAAAUCGUUAUAUAUAUAGAUAUAUAUAUAUAUAUACAAAGGACAUCGUUUGGAAACUAUACAUAAUAAAACUAUCGGAUUGGUAUGAAAUCUUUUGCCCUCCAAUUUUGAUAUUUACAAGUAUUAAGAAGGAUUAGCUAAAUAGUACAGAAAUAUUUUGCAAAGAAAGCUUAACUCGACUAUAUGUUUCGAAUGAAUGUUUUCGAAUAUAUUGCGAAAAUAAUUACAACUUAUGGAACAAUUCCUAGAUCCAAUGGCACUUUUCCAAUGGCACUUGUAGUACAUAAUGGACGGCAGAAGCACAACAAGGUAUUAAUUAUUAAGGACUUAAGCAUUUCACGUUCUUGAUAGGAGCUGCUUUAACAUAGAAGUCAGCUUCAUUACAACAAAGCCUAUCAAAUGCUAUAACUUACAUUAAUUUCUGAAAAAGUGAGUGACAUUAGAAAAUAAAAUCCAGGAGUCCACAAUUCCGGUUCAGGAAAGUUAAAGCUUGGUUUUGAAUUUAAAUUUCGCGAUCGCUGGCUUAAGUGGAUAUUGAAUUAACAACUGAAAAUCCUAUACACAAUCAUUGAUUAAGUAUAUUUGUUCCCGUAAAAUGUAAAACUGGAUUUGAGGAGUGAAGUAAAUUAUAACCGCAUCAGUAAAAGAAAACGUUGAUCAUAAGUUUGAAUCACUACCACUAAUUUGGAAAAUAUGAACAGAGUGGAAUUAGUUGGUGGGCUGUCAUAUUCUCCAAAUGAAGGACCAAAUUGUAACCAAUCAGUCGCCACACUCAAUCGUCCUAUUACACAAUCAAUGAUUAAGUUUAUUUGUUCUCGUCAAAUGUAAAACUGGGUGUGAGAAGUGAAUAAACCUUUAUCGCAUCUGUGAAAGAAAUCAAGAAAUCGAUGAUCAUAAGUUUAAAUCACUACCACUAAUUUGGAAAAUAUGAACAGAGUGGAAUUAGUUGGUGGGCUGUCAUAUUCUCCAAAUGAAGGACCAAAUU